rnacentral:rRNA from 1 species
GAUGAACGCUGGCGGCGUGCUUAACACAUGCAAGUCGAACGAAGCACCUUGAUUUGAUUCUUCGGAUGAAGAUCUUGGUGACUGAGUGGCGGACGGGUGAGUAACGCGUGGGUAACCUGCCUCAUACAGGGGGAUAACAGUUAGAAAUGACUGCUAAUACCGCAUAAGACCACAGUACCGCAUGGUACAGGGGUAAAAACUCCGGUGGUAUGAGAUGGACCCGCGUCUGAUUAGGUAGUUGGUGGGGUAACGGCCUACCAAGCCGACGAUCAGUAGCCGACCUGAGAGGGUGACCGGCCACAUUGGGACUGAGACACGGCCCAAACUCCUACGGGAGGCAGCAGUGGGGAAUAUUGCACAAUGGGGGAAACCCUGAUGCAGCGACGCCGCGUGAGCGAUGAAGUAUUUCGGUAUGUAAAGCUCUAUCAGCAGGGAAGAAAAUGACGGUACCUGACUAAGAAGCACCGGCUAAAUACGUGCCAGCCGCCGCGGUAAUAC